UCUUCAUGAAAGCAGAGUAAAAUUGAAGCUGACUUCACCGUUGGUCUUCUUUUUUUGUUGAAGUUAGAUUGUUGGGGUGUUUUCAUCGACUUUCUCGUCGCAUAAAACAACUGACUCAGAACUGAAGCGGACAAGGGGAAUCCGACUGUUUAAUAAAAACAUAGCUUUGUGAUGGCCUGAAAAGGUGUUGACACAAAGUGAUUUCUGCCCAGUGCUUUGAACGUGAAUAUGAAGUAAUUUGUAGAAGCUCAGGUAAACGGCGGGAGUAACUAUGACUCUCUUAAGGUAGCCAAAUGCCUCGUCAUCUAAUUAGUGACGCGCAUGAAUGGAUCAAUGAGAUUCCCACUGUCCCUAUUUACUAUUUAGCGAACCCACAGUCAAGGGAACGGGCUUGAAAUAAUCAGCGGGGAAAGAAGACCCUGUUGAGCUUGACUCUAGUCCGACUUUUGUGAAAUGACUAACGAAGUUUAGCCUUAGGUGGGAGCCAACGCGCC
rnacentral:rRNA from 1 species